rnacentral:rRNA from 1 species
UUAGGAAUCUUCCACAAUGGGCGAAAGCCUGAUGGAGCGACGCCGCGUGAGGGAUGAAGGCCUUAGGGUUGUAAACCUCUAAAAGAGGGACGAUAAUGACGGUACCUCUUGAAUAGCACCGGCCAACUCCGUGCCAGCAGCCGCGGUAAUACGGAGGGUGCAAGCGUUAUCCGGAAUCACUGGGCGUAAAGGGCGCGUAGGCGGCGCGGUAAGUCACUUGUGAAAUCUCUGAGCUUAACUCAGAACGGCCAAGUGAUACUGCUGUGCUAGAGUGCGGAAGAGGCAACCGGAAUUCUUGGUGUAGCGGUGAAAUGCGUAGAUAUCAAGAGGAACACUUGAGGCGAAGGCGGGUUGCUGGGCCGACACUGACGCUGAUGCGCGAAAGCCAGGGGAGCAAACG